CAGUAGCCGCGGGAAUACGAAGGGGGCUAGCGUUGUUCGGAAUUACUGGGCGUAAAGCGCAUGUAGGCGGAUAUUUAAGUCAGGGGUGAAAUCCCAGAGCUCAACUCUGGAACUGCCUUUGAUACUGGGUAUCUUGAGUAUGGAAGAGGUAAGUGGAAUUCCGAGUGUAGAGGUGAAAUUCGUAGAUAUUCGGAGGAACACCAGUGGCGAAGGCGACUUACUGGUCCAUUACUGACGCUGAGGUGCGAAAGCGUGGGGAGCAAACAGGAUUAGAUACCCGCGUAGUCCCUGUCUCUUAUAU
rnacentral:rRNA from 1 species